ACGUGCUUGCACGGACUUGACGUUGGUUUACCAGCGAGUGGCGGACGGGUGAGUAACACGUAGGUAACCUGCCCCAAAGCGGGGGAUAACAUUUGGAAACAGAUGCUAAUACCGCAUAACAAUUUGAAUCGCAUGAUUCAAAUUUAAAAGAUGGCUUCGGCUAUCACUUUGGGAUGGACCUGCGGCGCAUUAGCUUGUUGGUAGGGUAACGGCCUACCAAGGCUGUGAUGCGUAGCCGAGUUGAGAGACUGAUCGGCCACAAUGGAACUGAGACACGGUCCAUACUCCUACGGGAGGCAGCAGUAGGGAAUCUUCCACAAUGGGCGCAAGCCUGAUGGAGCAACACCGCGUGAGUGAAGAAGGGUUUCGGCUCGUAAAGCUCUGUUGUUAGAGAAGAACGUGCGUGAGAGCAACUGUUCACGCAGUGACGGUAUCUAACCAGAAAGUCACGGCUAACUACGUGCCAGCAGCCGCGGUAAUACGUAGGUGGCAAGCGUUAUCCGGAUUUAUUGGGCGUAAAGCGAGCGCAGGCGGUUUGAUAAGUCUGAUGUGAAAGCCUUUGGCUUAACCAAAGAAGUGCAUCGGAAACUGUCAGACUUGAGUGCAGAAGAGGACAGUGGAACUCCAUGUGUAGCGGUGGAAUGCGUAGAUAUAUGGAAGAACACCAGUGGCGAAGGCGGCUGUCUGGUCUGCAACUGACGCUGAGGCUCGAAAGCAUGGGUAGCGAACAGGAUUAGAUACCCUGGUAGUCCAUGCCGUAAACGAUGAGUGCUAGGUGUUGGAGGGUUUCCGCCCUUCAGUGCCGCAGCUAACGCAUUAAGCACUCCGCCUGGGGAGUACGACCGCAAGGUUGAAACUCAAAGGAAUUGACGGGGGCCCGCACAAGCGGUGGAGCAUGUGGUUUAAUUCGAAGCUACGCGAAGAACCUUACCAGGUCUUGACAUCUUGCGCCAACCCUAGAGAUAGGGCGUUUCCUUCGGGAACGCAAUGACAGGUGGUGCAUGGUCGUCGUCAGCUCGUGUCGUGAGAUGUUGGGUUAAGUCCCGC
rnacentral:rRNA from 2 species